rnacentral:rRNA from 1 species
UACGGGGGGGCAAGCGGUUGUUCGGAAUUACUGGGCGUAAAGGGCGCGUAGGCGGCCUUCUAAGUCAGACGUGAAAUCCCUCGGCUCAACCGAGGAACUGCGUCUGAUACUGGAAGGCUUGAAUCCGGGAGAGGGAUGUGGAAUUCCAGGUGUAGCGGUGAAAUGCGUAGAUAUCUGGAGGAACACCGGUGGCGAAGGCGGCAUCCUGGACCGGUAUUGACGCUGAGGCGCGAAAGCUAGGGGAGCAAACGGG